UGCCACAGCCAUAUCACCCUGCAGCCCAAGGGCAGUUACUCACUGAAGCUAAGCAGGGCUGAUCCUGGUCAGUUGCUGGAUGGGAGACCACAUGGGAAAACUAGGUUGCUGUUGGAA
rnacentral:rRNA from 1 species